GAUGAACGCUGGCGGCGUGCCUAAUACAUGCAAGUCGAGCGAACAGACGGGGAGCUUGCUCCCCUGACGUUAGCGGCGGACGGGUGAGUAACACGUGGGUAACCUACCUAUAAGACUGGAAUAACUCCGGGAAACCGGGGCUAAUGCCGGAUAACAUGUUGGACCGCAUGGUCCUACAGUGAAAGACGGUCUUGCUGUCACUUAUAGAUGGACCCGCGCCGUAUUAGCUAGUUGGUAAGGUAACGGCUUACCAAGGCAACGAUACGUAGCCGACCUGAGAGGGUGAUCGGCCACACUGGAACUGAGACACGGUCCAGACUCCUACGGGAGGCAGCAGUAGGGAAUCUUCCGCAAUGGGCGAAAGCCUGACGGAGCAACGCCGCGUGAGUGAUGAAGGCCUUCGGGUCGUAAAACUCUGUUAUUAGGGAAGAACAAAUGUGUAAGUAACUAUGCACGUCUUGACGGUACCUAAUCAGAAAGCCACGGCUAACUACGUGCCAGCAGCCGCGGUAAUACGUAGGUGGCAAGCGUUAUCCGGAAUUAUUGGGCGUAAAGCGCGCGUAGGCGGUUUCUUAAGUCUGAUGUGAAAGCCCACGGCUCAACCGUGGAGGGUCAUUGGAAACUGGGAAACUUGAGUGCAGGAGAGGAAAGUGGAAUUCCAUGUGUAGCGGUGAAAUGCGCAGAGAUAUGGAGGAACACCAGUGGCGAAGGCGACUUUCUGGUCUGCAACUGACGCUGAUGUGCGAAAGCGUGGGGAUCAAACAGG
rnacentral:rRNA from 1 species